CGCUCCUUGAUUUUAAUUAAUAAGGAGUCGGACCUGCCCAGUGAUAAGNUAUUUAACGGCCGCGGUACUCUGACCGUGCAAAGGUAGCAUAAUCAUUUGCCCUAUAAUUGAGGGCUAGUAUGAAUGGUUUGACAAGAACAAUACUGUCUCUUUCAAAGNUUUCUAGAAUUUAUUCUUUAGGUGAAGAAACCUAAAUAAAAUUAAAAGACAAGAAGACCCUAUCGAGCUUAAACUCUUUUUAUAAAAUAAAAAAAANUUAAUAAUAUUUUUUGUUAUAAAAAAUUUUGGUUGGGGCGACUAAGGAACAAAAAAAGCUUCUUUAUUUAAUAAAGACAAAUGUGUAUUGAUCCAUAAAANUCUUGAUUAAAAGAAUUAGUUACCGUAGGGAUAACAGCAUAAUCUUUUUUAAGAGUUCUUAUCGAAAAAAAGGUUUGUGACCUCGAUGUUGGACUAAAAUUUCCUAAUAGAUGCAGACGUCUUUAAGGG
rnacentral:rRNA from 1 species